GACUACACGGGUAUCUAAUCCUGUUUGCUCCCCACGCUUUCGUACCUCAGCGUCAGUACUUGUCCAGUUAGUCGCCUUCGCCACUGGUGUUCUUCCGAAUAUCUACGAAUUUCACCUCUACACUCGGAAUUCCACUAACCUCUCCAAGACUCUAGCUAUCUAGUUUCAAAGGCAGUUCCGGGGUUGAGCCCCGGGCUUUCACCUCUGACUUGAAUAACCGCCUACGUACGCUUUACGCCCAGUAAUUCCGAACAACGCUAGCUCCCUCCGUAUUACCGCGGCUGCUGGCACGGAGUUAGCCGGAGCUUAUUCUCCAGGUACUGUCAUUAUCAUCCCUGGUAAAAGAGCUUUACAACCCUAAGGCCUUCAUCACUCACGCGGCAUUGCUGGAUCAGGCUUUCGCCCAUUGUCCAAUAUUCCCCACUGCAGCCACCCGUAGG
rnacentral:rRNA from 1 species